rnacentral:rRNA from 1 species
UACGAAGGGUGCAAGCGUUACUCGGAAUUACUGGGCGUAAAGCGUGCGUAGGUGGUUCGUUAAGUCUGAUGUGAAAGCCCUGGGCUCAACCUGGGAAUUGCAUUGGAUACUGGCGGGCUAGAGUACGGUAGAGGGUGGCGGAAUUCCUGGUGUAGCGGUGAAAUGCGUAGAGAUCGGGAGGAACAUCAGUGGCGAAGGCGGCCAUCUGGGACAACACUGACGCUGAAGCACGAAAGCGUGGGGAGCAAACAGG